GAUGAACGCUGGCGGCGUGCCUAAUACAUGCAAGUCGAACGCUGAAGGAAGGAGCUUGCUCUUUCCGGAUGAGUUGCGAACGGGUGAGUAACGCGUAGGUAACCUGCCUGUUAGCGGGGGAUAACUAUUGGAAACGAUAGCUAAUACCGCAUAACAGUAGAUGUUGCAUGACAACUAUUUGAAAGGGGCAAUUGCUCCACUACCAGAUGGACCUGCGUUGUAUUAGCUAGUUGGUGAGGUAACGGCUCACCAAGGCGACGAUACAUAGCCUACCUGAGAGGGGGAACCGCCCAACUGGGAAUGAGACAAGGCCCAGACCUCUACGGGAGGCAGCAGUAGGGAAUCUUCGGCAAUGGACGGAAGUCUGACCGGGGCACGGCGCGGGAGUGAAGAAGGGUUUCGGAUCGUAAAGCUCUGUUGUAAGAGAAGAAAGAGAGUGAGAGUGGAAAGUUCACACUGUGACGGUAUCUUACCAGAAAGGGACGGCUAACUACGUG
rnacentral:rRNA from 1 species